rnacentral:tRNA from 1 species
GCAGUAAAGUAAGACUCGGCUACGAACCGAGCGGUCGGAGGUUCGAAUCCUCCCGGAUGCACCA